rnacentral:rRNA from 1 species
CAAGACGUUUCGGAAUUAUUGGGCGUAAGGGCUCGUAGGCGGCUCGUCGCGUCUGCCGUGAAAUCCUCAGGCUCAACCUGGGGCGUGCGGUGGGUACGGGCGGGCUAGAGUGUGGUAGGGGUGACUGGAAUUCCUGGUGUAGCGGUGGAAUGCGCAGAUAUCAGGAGGAACACCGAUGGCGAAGGCAGGUCACUGGGCCACAACUGACGCUGAGGAGCGAAAGCGUGGGGAGCGAACAGGAUUAGAUACCCUGGUAGUCCACGCUGUAAACGUUGGGCGCUAGGUGUGGGGACCGUUCCACGGUUUCCGUGCCGCAGCAAACGCAUUAAGCGCCCCGCCUGGGGAGUACGGCCGCAAGGCUAAAACUCAAAGAAAUUGACGGGGGCCCGCACAAGCGGCGGAGCAUGCGGAUUAAUUCGAUGCAACGCGAAGAACCUUACCAAGGCUUGACAUACACUAGAAGUCGCCAGAGAUGGUGGUGCCUUCGGGCUGGUGUACAGGUGGUGCAUGGUUGUCGUCAGCUCGUGUCGUGAGAUGUUGGGUUAAGUCCCGCAACGAGCGCAACCCUCGUCCUGUGUUGCCAGCGCGUUGUGGCGGGGACUCAUGGGAGACUGCCGGGGUCAACUCGGAGGAAGGUGGGGACGACGUCAAAUCAUCAUGCCCCUUAUGUCUUGGGCUUCACGCAUGCUACAAUGGCCGGUACAGAGGGCUGCGAUACCGUGAGGUGGAGCGAAUCCCUAAAAGCCGGUCUCAGUUCGGAUCGGGGUCUGCAACUCGACCCCGUGAAGUUGGAGUCGCUAGUAAUCGCAGAUCAGCAACGCUGCGGUGAAUACGUUCCCGGGCCUUGUACUCACCGCCCGU